UUAGUGUAAAGAGCUUUUGGAAUAAGAGCUGGGCAAGACCGGUGCCAGCCGCCGCGGUAACACCGGCAGCUCUAGUGGUAACAAUUUUUAUUGGGCCUAAAGCGUCCGUAGCCGGUUUAAUAAGUCUCUGGUGAAAUCCUGUAGCUUAACUGUGGGAAUUCGCUGGAGAUACUAUUAGACUUGAGACCGGGAGAGGUUAGAGGUACUCCCAGGGUAGAGGUGAAAUUCUGUAAUCCUGGGAGGACCGCCUGUUGCGAAGGCGUCUAACUGGAACGGUUCUGACGGUGAGGGACGAAAGUUAGGGGCGCGAACCGGAUUAGAUACCCGGGUAGUCCUAACUGUAAACGAUGCGGACUUGGUGUUGGGGUGGCUUUGAGCUGCUCCAGUGCC
rnacentral:rRNA from 1 species